GUGAAUCAUCGAAUUUUUGAACGCAAAUUGCACUCUCUGGCAUGCCGGUGAGUAUUCGUGUGUGAGGGUCAGAAUAUAUAAAAAUCUAGGUGUUGCUGGUGUGUGUCCCAGCGGAAUUGGGUUAUCUUUGACCUUUUAAAAAGUUUAAGUGACCUAAAAUUGAUACCUUGUGCAUCUCAGACGUACAUAAGAAUAUUUUUUGAUCAGUCUGUAGUUGCCAACUUUUUAUUAGGUAUAAC
rnacentral:misc_RNA from 1 species